rnacentral:rRNA from 1 species
UACAUGGGGGUGCAAACGUUGCUCGGAAUUAUUGGGCGUAAAGCGCACGUAGGCGGUUUCGUUUAAGUCGGAUGUGAAAAGCCCCUCGGCUCAACUGAGGAAGUGCACCCCGAAAACUGGCGAGCUUGAGUACGAAAAGAGGAUCGCGGAAUUCCCGGUGUAGAGGUGAAAAUUCGUAGAUAUUCGGAAGAACACCAGUGGCGAAGGCGACUCGCUGGACAGGUAUUGACGCUGAGGUGCGAAAGCGUGGAGAGCAAACAGG